CAGUCGAACGGAGAAUUUUAUUUCGGUAGAAUUCUUAGUGGCGAACGGGUGACCAACGCGUAGGCAACCUACCCUUUAGACGGGGACAACAUUCCGAAAGGAGUGCUAAUACCGGAUGUGAUCAUCGUGCCGCAUGGCAGGAUGAAGAAAGAUGGCCUCUACAAGUAAGCUAUCGCUAAAGGAUGGGCCUGCGUCUGAUUAGCUAGUUGGUAGUGUAACGGACUACCAAGGCGAUGAUCAGUAGCCGGUCUGAGAGGAUGAACGGCCACAUUGGGACUGAGACACGGCCCAAACUCCUACGGGAGGCAGCAGUGGGGAAUCUUCCGCAAUGGACGAAAGUCUGACGGAGCAACGCCGCGUGAGUGAUGAAGGAUUUCGGUCUGUAAAGCUCUGUUGUUUAUGACGAACGUGCAGUGUGUGAACAAUGCAUUGCAAUGACGGUAGUAAACGAGGAAGCCACGGCUAACUACGUGCCAGCAGCCGCGGUAAUACGUAGGUGGCGAGCGUUGUCCGGAAUUAUUGGGCGUAAAGAGCAUGUAGGCGGCUUAAUAAGUCGAGCGUGAAAAUGCGGGGCUCAACCCCGUAUGGCGCUGGAAACUGUUAGGCUUGAGUGCAGGAGAGGAAAGGGGAAUUCCCAGUGUAGCGGUGAAAUGCGUAGAUAUUGGGAGGAACACCAGUGGCGAAGGCGCCUUUCUGGACUGUGUCUGACGCUGAGAUGCGAAAGCCAGGGUAGCGAACGGGAUUAGAUACCCCGGUAGUCCUGGCCGUAAACGAUGGGUACUAGGUGUAGGAGGUAUCGACCCC
rnacentral:rRNA from 1 species